rnacentral:rRNA from 1 species
UACGAAGGGGGCUAGCGUUGUUCGGAAUCACUGGGCGUAAAGCGCUCGUAGGCGGAUCUUUAAGUCAGAGGUGAAAUCCCAAGGCUCAACCUUGGAACUGCCUUUGAUACUGGGGAUCUCGAGUCCGGGAGAGGUGAGUGGAACUGCGAGUGUAGAGGUGAAAUUCGUAGAUAUUCGCAAGAACACCAGUGGCGAAGGCGGCUCACUGGCUCAUUACUGACGCUCAGGCGCGAUAGCGUGGGGAUCAAACAGG